GUUAAACCCAUGAAAUUUGAUUGAAUUGUGGGAAUUAUAGAAAUGAUGAUGUUAAACCCAUGAAAUUAGAUUGAAUUGUGGGAAUGAUGAAAAUGUUGAUGUUAAACCCAUGAAAUUUGAUUGAGUUGUGGGAAUGAUGAAAAUGAUGAUGUUAAACCCAUGAAAUUUGAUUGAAUUGUGGGAAUGAUAAAAAUGAUGAUGUUAAACCCAUGAAAUUUGAUUGAAU
rnacentral:lncRNA from 1 species